rnacentral:rRNA from 1 species
AUGCAGUCGAAGGGGAACGACGGCGGGGUUUCCGGCCUUGCUGGGCGUCGACCGGCGAAUGGGUGAGUAACGCGUAUCCAACCUGCCCUUGUCCCGGGAACAGCCCUUGGAAACGAGGAUUAACGCCCGAUUCGCGUUUUAGCCGCAUGGCAUAGACGUAAAAUGAGAAGGACAAGGAUGGGGAUGCGUCUGAUUAGCUAGCUGGCGGGGUAACGGCCCACCAGGGCAUCGAUCAGUAGGGGUUCUGAGAGGAAGGUCCCCCACACUGGAACUGAGACACGGUCCAGACUCCUACGGGAGGCAGCAGUGAGGAAUAUUGGUCAAUGGCCGCGAGGCUGAACCAGCCAAGUAGCGUGAGGGAUGACGGCCCUAUGGGUUGUAAACCUCUUUUAUGCGGGGAUAAAAAGUGCCACGUGUGGCAUGUUGCAGGUACCGCAUGAAUAAGGACCGGCUAAUUCCGUGCCAGCAGCCGCGGUAAUACGGAAGGUCCGGGCGUUAUCCGGAUUUAUUGGGUUUAAAGGGAGCGCAGGCGGAGCGCCAAGUCAGCCGUCAAAUGGCUCAGCUCAACUGAGUCCUGCGGUUGAAACUGGUGCCCUUGGGUGCACAAGAGGCAGGCGGAACUCGUGGUGUAGCGGUGAAAUGCAUAGAUAUCACGAAGAACUCCGAUUGCGAAGGCAGCUUGCUGGGGUGUUACCGACGCUCAUGCUCGAAGGCGCGGGUAUCAAACAGGAUUAGAUACCCUGGUAGUCCGCGCAGUAAACGAUGGAUGCCCGCGGUGCGGCCUAUAUGGUUACGCCGCCAAGCGAAAGCGUUAAGCAUCCCACCUGGGGAGUACGCCGGCAACGGUGAAACUCAAAGGAAUUGACGGGGGCCCGCACAAGCGGAGGAACAUGUGGUUUAAUUCGAUGAUACGCGAGGAACCUUACCCGGGCUUGAAAGGUGGUGGACGGCAGGCAGAGAGGCCUGCUUAUCGUGCC